GGGGAUUUAGCUCAGUGGUAGAGCGCUUGCCUAGCAAGCCCUAGGCCCUGGGUUCGGUCCCCAGCUCCG
rfam:Rattus norvegicus chromosome 3, whole genome shotgun sequence.